UCCGGUUGAUCCUGCCGGACCUGACUGCUAUCGGAUUGAUACUAAGCCAUGCGAGUCUUUGCAGUAAUGCAAGGCAUACGGCUCAGUAACACGUAGUCAACUUACCCUAUGGACGAGGAUAAUCUCGGGAAACUGAGCAUAAUACCCGACAGACCACUUCUCCUGGAAUGGUUAGUGGUUAAAAUGAUUCGUCGCCAUAGGAUGGGACUGCGGCCUAUCAGCUUGUUGGUGAGGUAAUGGCCCACCAAGGCGAUUACAGGUACGGGCUCUGAGAGGAGAGGCCCGGAGAUGGGUACUGAGACAAGGACCCAGGCCCUAUGGGGCGCAGCAGGCGAGAAAACUUUGCAAUGUGCGAAAGCACGACAAGGUUAAUCCGAGUGAUUUCUGCUAAAGGAAUCUUUUGUUAGUUCUAAAAAUACUAGUGAAUAAGGGGUGGGCAAGUUCUGGUGUCAGCCGCCGCGGUAAAACCAGCACCUCAAGUGGUCAGGAGGAUUAUUGGGCCUAAAGCAUCCGUAGCCUGUUCUAUAAGUUUGCGGUUAAAUCUAUACGCUCAACGUAUAGGCUGCCGUAAAUACUGUAGAACUAGGGAGUGGGAGAGGUAGACGGUACUCGAUAGGAAGGGGUAAAAUCCUUUGAUCUAUUGAUGACCACCUGUGGCGAAGGCGGUCUACCAGAACACGUUCGACGGUGAGGGAUGAAAGCUGGGGGAGCAAACCGGAUUAGAUACCCGGGUAGUCCCAGCUGUAAACGAUGCAGACUCGAUGAUGCAAUGGCAUAGAGCUAUUGCAGUAUCGCAGGGAAGCCGUUAAGUCUGCCGCCUGGGAAGUACGUACGCAAGUAUGAAACUUAAAGGAAUUGGCGGGGGAGCACCACAAGGGGUGAAGCCUGCGGUUCAAUUGGAUUCAACGCCGGA
rnacentral:rRNA from 1 species